UGCGGAGUGUCCGCUCAAGGCUGGGGCACAUCUGUUAAGGCUCCCAUGUCAAGUGAAGGAGGAGGAGGAGGAGGCUGAAGCCUGAGGUGUGUGCGCAUGAUGUGCCUGCGUGUUGGUGGGGCGGACAGACAGGCAAGCAGGCAGGCAGGAAGACAGUCAGAAAGACAGGCAGUCGGGAGCAGAGUAGGAGUCGGAAAAGAGGAAGACUUGGCAAACGGAGGCUCUGGCUGCUUUUCGACCACAGCUGUUGAAAGUAGGAGUUGCGGCAAGCAGUGGUGUCACAUUUGCAAGUUGAGGGUGCCUGCUGAUCUUCAGUGGGAAGGCUUCUCGUUCGAUAACCCCUUAGACACGUGGCCCCUGUGCAAGGGACUGCAGACAGGCCAACGAGUCAGUCUCCAUGGGCGACUUGUCCACCAAGAUAAGUGCCUUUUCCAGUUUGAGGUCAGCCGCCUCUCCUGUUACAGGUGGUUUCAAACGUUGCAAGUUGGGAGGCAAGUCGACCUCCAGUCGGAACGACCUUUCAAAAAAAAAAACGACCCUUCGAAAGAUGACCCCUCGUACAAGAGUCUCCGGGGCAGAGUGAAAGGGGGCACCCUGCGUGGGGUCGUUAUCACCCUUCUUACAGUGGGGAGGGAGCGGGAGUCACUGCAGUUGUGACAGAUUCUGGCUUCCGAGUCAGUUCGCUUGGCUCUUUGCAAAUGUGGUCGGUUUAGAGGCUUCUAAAGCCAAGGGCCGUCGUGAGUUAGGCGAAGAAAAUGGCCGCAAAAAAAUGUUCAAUAAAAAGAGAAAAAUCCCAGCAGAUCCAGUUUUUUUCCAAGAGAGCCUCCAUAUUUUACCCCAGUGGUCCUCGGUCAAGCACUCAGGAAAUACUCACUGGAAAACUGGAUUCAAGACUGACCGUGGCUUUCUUCCGCGAAAGAGAAAACCCCCCCACCUUUGCCGAGAGCUGGACAGAGACGCAUCAACAGCUGCGCUUUUUACGACCCUGAGCGACGUCGGCGGUUUUGAAAUAGCCCGCACGUUUCUCUUUGAGUCGGAGCGCGGCGAGCAGGAAUGCGCUUGAAACUCCGCCGUCCUUCUCCCGCCACAUGUGUCCUCCGUGCGCGGAUUCAGAUGCGCGCCUCGUUAAAAAAAAAAAAAAAAAAAGA